rnacentral:rRNA from 1 species
UACGUAGGGGGCAGCGUUGUCCGGAUUUAUUGGGCGUAAAGAGCGUGUAGGCGGCCAGGUAGGUCAGCUGUGAAACUCGAGGCUCACCUCGAGACGUCGGUUGAAACCACCUGGCUAGAGUCCGGAAGAGGAGAGUGGAAUUCCUGGUGUAGCGGUGAAAUGACGCAGAUAUCAGGAAGAACACCCGUGGCGAAGGCGGCUCUCUGGGACGGUACUGACGCUGAGACGCGAAAGCGUGGGGAGCGAACAGG